rnacentral:lncRNA from 1 species
CGAGAACAUCACAGCUCAAGUGCUUCCUUUAAAUACUGUGACAAACAUUUUGAAUACGGUCUUCAACGCUUCAGAGAAGAUUCUAGAGUCAUCAUCAUCUGCAAGCCCAGCUGAACUAGCCUCCUAUGGAAACCGUGCGUUAAAAACUAGUGAGAAACUCAUCUCUACAUUAGUGAAGCCGACAGACACAAGUGACAGUGUCAGUUUUACUCUUGCUGCUGUAGAGGGUCAAGUCUUCAUGGUUGGACCACAGGUCACCUUCUAUAAAAUCCCUCGACUUGACACGACAAAUUCUUCUGUGGACAUUGUAAGAUGUG